UUCGGGGGACGAGGGUGACAGGUGGUGCAUGGUUGUCGUCAGCUCGUGUCGUGAGAUGUUGGGUUAAGUCCCGCAACGAGCGCAACCCUCGACCUUAGUUGCCAGCAUUCAGUUGGGCACUCUAAGGUGACUGCCGGCUAAAAGUCGGAGGAAGGUGGGGAUGACGUCAAAUCAUCAUGCCCCUUAUGACCUGGGCUACACACGUGCUACAAUGGGCGGUACAAAGGGUCGCGAACCCGCGAGGGGGAGCCAAUCCCAAAAAGCCGCUCUCAGUUCGGAUUGCAGGCUGCAACUCGCCUGCAUGAAGUCGGAAUCGCUAGUAAUCGCAGGUCAGCAUACUGCGGUGAAUACGUUCCCGGGCCUU
rnacentral:rRNA from 1 species